GGGUGGAACAUCCAUCAACAAGAAGGGAAAACACAUGAGUUUUUAACCACGAUGGGCAGUGUAGUGUUGUGAAGAUCGAGCAAUAGAACUAUAAUGACUAGGUUAAUGUCGCUCAACAUGUGAUACAACAAUGGGUAGGGUAGACCCACUAGGCUCAGAAGGUGGAACAUCAGUAGGAGAAGGGUGGUGGUAUGGAUGAUGACGAUCCAUGUGACGAUGGUAUGGGCAACCACACUCGCUCUCUAGUAGAUGACAUCAUGCCUUUAUCAUUUGUAUGUGAGUUGGGACAUGUUGUCGCCUCAAACACACAAUAAUGAAACUUUAUCUUAGGCAACAAAUGAAUUAGUAACUUAAAGCAAGUGUCAACCAAAUUACAACCAACAAUAUUGGAUACAUGCAUUGCACAUGGACUGAAGCAUGGACGUAAUAAUGAGUAACUGUGCUUUCACAUCGAUCAUGUAUUCCUCAACCUUCGACACACGAUCGUCUAACAACGAAACACAAUCAUCUAACCUUUGAAUCAAGUUAUCAAUGCUUCAUAGAUAUGAAUAGACAAAUGGUUCACGUCUUGCUCCCUCCCUAAGGUUCACAUCUUUAUGAAGGGUCGCUUCCAUCUUCAAUCAUUCUUCUACGAUGCUCUUGGGGACCAUUAACAUUAUGAGGAACCUCAUUAUGGUCAUCAUUCAUAGUGGCAACCUGUGGUUACCUCCCACAUCUACAGCUUGAAAAAUUUUCUCUAUCUCGUCGUCGGUUUCCUUGUCUCUCCUAUCACCUUCAACAUUCAUUGGACGCUCCAAAGUAUCUCUACUACUCAACGAGCUAUUAGUUUCAAAGCUUUCGUCGUUCAUACUAAGAUCGAAGAUGAGUCUAUCUAUUUGGUAUCCCCAAACUCAAUCUCAACAUUAAUAAUGACAAAAAUUUCUUUGACCUUAUCUACAUUAACAACCCAAACAUAUUAGUUAAAUAGUUUCAAUAAAGCCAUAUAAUUUAAUUAUGCAUAGAGUAUACUUACAUUUGGAGACUAAGAAAUCUCUCUCUCCAAUACAUUGUAGGACACCAAGUAGGAACAUGACUAAUGCAAUAUAUGGGGCACGAUUACCUUACUCAUUCUGUCACACCCCACCCCAAGCACCUGCUUGCUUGGUCUGAGAUGUGGCGUGAUGUCAACUGAAGUAAGCAGGUGCUCAAGGUGGGGUGUGACACCUGUAAUCGACAAUAUUUCCUACUAUUGAUGCCAAUGGAAUCUCAUAUGUCCAUACCUAACUAAGAAACAAAAUAUAUUAAAAGUCAAAUGGUUCAAGAAAGUAAACAAUAAGAAUCUUUGAACAAUUGAAUUUCAGCUGCACCUUUAUGCAUCUUCUUUCCUAUCACUACAAUCUUUAUGUAGUAUACUGGGUGAUCUUUGUUGCAUCAUCAUCAUUUUCAAACUCCAAAUUCUUAUACUUUUUUUCCAAGCUAUCGAUGUGGAAUGGAGUCAUUGUAGAUUACUUACCAAAGUACUUCAUUUGAAGUUCAAGUGACGACUUCUCAUCUCGAUCAAUUUGCAUGGGGAAUCGUCAAAAAUCAAUGAAAAUCAUCCUUAAAAAAAGUGAUAGACUCUACUCCAACACAGAUGCUCAUCGAGCCAUCUCUCUUCCUUUUCACUUCUCUCAAUAACAUAUGAUGGUCCAUCGAACUACUGAAUACCAUGUCCAUGUCUAAAAAUUAUCCAAAAACUAUUCUCUUGAACAUCUCUAACUAACAUGUGGUCAACUUAUUCAACAUUAUCUUGUUUGCAUUUGCAAUGUAAGCCAAGCUUGUUGCUUGCCCUAGAAAUGCCACAUGUAUUUUGAAAUGAGUUGUCAUUUUAAUUCAAUCCUCCAAAGCAUAAAUAAAGAUUCGAUCAGUUAUAGAUCUUCAGGAAAAAACAACAGAUCGACGAUGUUUUUUGUCUCGCUAGAAUAUGUCUUACUAAAGUAAGUCUCGCUAUCUCGCUAGGCUCGUUCAUAAGUGUCUCCUUAGGUUGGCUCAAAAGUGUAUCGCUAGGCACGUUUAUAAGUAUCUUGUUAGUCUCGUCCAUAAGUGUCUCGCUAAACACCCUAUAUUUGUCUCGCUAGGAUCAUUCAUAAUUGUCUUGCUCAUAUAUGUCUUAGUUUGUAUCACUAGUAUUACCAUAACAUUUCUCGCUCACACACAAAACCCUCAGCAUUAGUCAUCUUCAACUCAAUCCUCCAUAAUGGAAUUUAAAAAAUCAAACAACCGACUAUACGACAAGCAAAUAAAAAAAACCCAAAACUCAAUCUCAGACACAAACGACAAGAAGAUUUAGCAGUUCAAUGGUUUAUUAUAUGUUAUUAAGAGAAGUGAAGACGAAGAGAGGUGACUCGAUGAGCUUUUGUGUUGGAGGAAAGAAUGCCACUUUUUUAAUGAUGAUUUUGAUGGACAUGGUAGACAUGCACAGCGGAAUAAGGAUCAAACUUUACUCUAAUUGCAACUAAACAAAUUUAGUAAUCAACAUACAUAAUAACCCUAUUUGAAAUAAAGAUAGAGUUAAAAGUAAAACUCACCUUUGAUGCUUUUCUCUUAUUGUAAUCUCCUCAUGAACAAUUCACAAUCUCCUCACAAACUUGAAGUCGAGACUACCACUGGUGUUGACCCACUAUUCUCCAAACUUGGAACCAAGUUGUGAGACUCGAAUGGUGGAGAAAAUAGAAAGAGAUGAUAUUUUUUGGAGGAACCUAACUUUUAGAUCUUUUGUUGAGAGUAAAAUAAAAAGAGUUAUUGGUUUUAUUUUGUAAUUCACAAUUGCAAAAUUAAUUCUUACCAUUUUACAAAUCCAAAAGUCCUUUCACAUUUGCAAAAAAAAAAAAAA
rnacentral:lncRNA from 1 species